rnacentral:rRNA from 1 species
AUGAACGCUGGCGGCGUGCCUAAUACAUGCAAGUCGAGCGAACGGACGAGAAGCUUGCUUCUCUGAUGUUAGCGGCGGACGGGUGAGUAACACGUGGAUAACCUACCUAUAAGACUGGGAUAACUUCGGGAAACCGGAGCUAAUACCGGAUAAUAUUUUGAACCACAUGGUUCAAAAGUGAAAGACGGUCUUGCUGUCACUUAUAGAUGGAUCCGCGCUGCAUUAGCUAGUUGGUAAGGUAACGGCUUACCAAGGCAACGAUGCAUAGCCGACCUGAGAGGGUGAUCGGCCACACUGGAACUGAGACACGGUCCAGACUCCUACGGGAGGCAGCAGUAGGGAAUCUUCCGCAAUGGGCGAAAGCCUGACGGAGCAACGCCGCGUGAGUGAUGAAGGUCUUCGGAUCGUAAAACUCUGUUAUUAGGGAAGAACAUAUGUGUAAGUAACUGUGCACAUCUUGACGGUACCUAAUCAGAAAGCCACGGCUAACUACGUG